GGAGAGUUGCCGGAGUGGUCGAUCGGGGCAGACUCGAAAUCUGUUGAACCGCCUAGCGGUUCCGGGGGUUCGAAUCCCUCACUCUCCG
rnacentral:tRNA from 2 species